CCUACGGAGGGCUGCAGUAGGGAAUGUUGGGCAAUGGGGGGAACCCUGAUCGAGCAACGCCGCGUGAAUGAAGAAGGUAUUCGUAAUGUAAAGCUCUUUUAACAGGGAAGAAAGAGAAAUUUGACGGAACCUGAAGAAUAAGCUUCGGCAAACUACGUGCCAGCAGCCGCGGUAAGACGUAGGGGGCGAGCGUUAUACGGAAUUCUUGGGCGUAAAGGGUGUGUUGAUGGCAUAGUAAGCGUAUGGUAAAAAUGCUGGGUUCAAACCAGUAGGGCAAAGGAUACUGGAAAGCUAGAGUAUGGCAGAGGCAAGUGGAACUCGAGGUGUAGCGGUAAAAUGCGUAGAUAUAUGGAAGAACACCAGUGGCGAAGGCGGCUUGCUGGGUCGAUACUGACGUUGAGGCACGAAAGCGUGGGGAGCAAACAGGAUUAGAUACCCGGGUAGUC
rnacentral:rRNA from 1 species